UACGUAGGGUGCAAGCGUUGUCCGGAAUUAUUGGGCGUAAAGAGCUCGUAGGCGGUCUGUCGCGUCUGCUGUGAAAACUCGGGGCUUAACCCCGGGCCUGCAGUGGGUACGGGCAGACUAGAGUGCGGUAGGGGAGACUGGAAUUCCGUGGUGUAGCGGUGAAAUGCGCAGAUAUCAGGAGGAACACCGGUGGCGAAGGCGGCCUGCUGGGCGUAUGGCUGACACUGGAGGCGACGACA
rnacentral:rRNA from 1 species